UACGUAGGGUGCGAGCGUUAAUCGGAAUUACUGGGCGUAAAGCGUGCGCAGGCGGUUCGUUAAGUUCGUUGUGAAAGCCCCGGGCUCAACCUGGGAACUGCAUUUGUGACUGCAUAGCUAGAGUACGGUAGAGGGGGAUGGAAUUCCGCGUGUAGCAGUGAAAUGCGUAGAUAUGCGGAGGAACACCGAUGGCGAAGGCAAUCCCCUGGACCUGUACUGACGCUCAUGCACGAAAGCGUGGGGAGCAAACGAGG
rnacentral:rRNA from 1 species